rnacentral:rRNA from 1 species
GACGAACGCUGGCGGUGUGCGUUCACACAUGCAAGUCGAACGAGGUAGCAAUACCUAGUGGCGGACGGGUGAGUAACACGUGGGAAUCUGCCUUUAGAUGGGGAAUAACGGGCCGAAAGGCUCGCUAAUACCGCAUAUGUGUACGCCUCGACAGGGGGGUACAUGAAAGGAGCAAUCCGUCUGAAGAUGAGCCCGCGCCCGAUUAGCUAGUUGGUAGGGUAAAGCCUACCAAGGCGACGAUCGGUAGCUGGU